rnacentral:rRNA from 1 species
UACGAAGGGGGCUAGCGUUGCUCGGAAUUACUGGGCGUAAAGGGCGCGUAGGCGGACAGUUUAGUCAGGGGUGAAAUCCUGGAGCUCAACUCCAGAACUGCCUUUGAUACUGAAGAUCUUGAGUUCGGGAGAGGUGAGUGGAACUGCGAGUGUAGAGGUGAAAUUCGUAGAUAUUCGCAAGAACACCAGUGGCGAAGGCGGCUCACUGGCCCGAUACUGACGCUGAGGCACGAAAGCGUGGGGAGCAAACAGG